rnacentral:snRNA from 1 species
GCUUUGGUAGCAUAGACUAAAAUCAGAAUGAUACAAAGAAGAUUAAUAUGGGCCCUGUACAAAGAAGAAACAAAUUAGCAAAGUAUUCCAUAUAUUA